rnacentral:rRNA from 1 species
GAUGAACGCUGGCGGCGUGCCUAAUACAUGCAAGUCGAGCGAACGGACGAGAAGCUUGCUUCUCUGAUGUUAGCGGCGGACGGGUGAGUAACACGUGGAUAACCUACCUUUAAGACUGGGAUAACUUCGGGAAACCGGAGCUAAUACCGGAUAAUAUUUUGAACCGCAUGGUUCAAAAGUGAAAGACGGUCUUGCUGUCACUUAUAGAUGGAUCCGCGCUGCAUUAGCUAGUUGGUAAGGUAACGGCUUACCAAGGCAACGAUGCAUAGCCGACCUGAGAGGGUGAUCGGCCACACUGGAACUGAGGCACGGUCCAGACUCCUACGGGAGGCAGCAGUAGGGAAUCUUCCGCAAUGGGCGAAAGCCUGACGGAGCAACGCCGCGUGAGUGAUGAAGGUCUUCGGAUCGUAAAACUCUGUUAUUAGGGAAGAACAUAUGUGUAAGUAACUGUGCACAUCUUGACGGUACCUAAUCAGAAAGCCACGGCUAACUACGUG